ensembl:lncRNA
CUGAGAAGAAUUAAGCAAUUUGUCCAGGGUCAUAGAUCUAAUAAAUCGAACAGACAAGAGUUAAAUCAGGUUGAUUUAACAUCCAUUACAUAAUGCUGCCUCUGAAAUUCUGUUUGCCCUGGACAAAUAUUAUGCUUUUAUUUCAAAAGCUAAGGAAAAAAGAGGGAGGUGGAAAGCCGUUAAAUGGGAAAGAAGCAAAUGGAAAAUGUUGUGACUUUUAUACAUGCACAAAAUUUACUGAGCAACAAUUUCACUCUGUGAGAUCCUUGCAGGGUUGCUGAGCAGCUGCUGCCUUCAAGAAGCUAACAUUUUCAUUGAAAAAACACCUAAGAAUUCACAGGUCAUGAGUGGCAGACAUCAUGUGAGCAGACAACCAUGACAGAGAGUGGUCUGGAACCUGUACCUGUGGUUGACCAACUGUAUGGCCUUAGACAAAAUAAAGCCCUUCAUUACUCUAAAUUUCAGCUUCCUCAUUUAUAAUACAGAGGCAAUAUCUACCUUUCACUGUUGCUGUGAUCAUUAAAGAUAAUUAGAUAGAAAACAUAAGUACAGAAAGUAGGCAUUUGAGUCAUUAGCUCUGUAGCAUUUGUACCCUUCAUUUAGUCACAUAGUCAUGUGACUAUUAAACCUCUGUUGGGCAGCAAGCAUAACUGGGCUAGAGAUUCCAUUUCCCCAUAAAGAGGAGAGAAGCAAAACCAAAUAAAGUGUCACUAAGGUGGAGCCCAUAGCCAUCUCACUAGCUUACAAUCCUUUUUUUUUUUUUUUUUUUUUUCCGGUAUAUUCAAGUCUGUGGCAUCUGUUGCCCCUGAAAAUAUUUCCAGUGUUCUUUGUUGGAGAGCAACUGAGUCUCUGAGGACAUCUCACCAAAGAGUGCUUGGUUUAGUGUCAGAAGCAGCUCCAUGCAGUUGUUAGACACUGUGAUAGUUGACUGUGAUCUUCCACUUGCCUAGAUUAAGGAAUGCCUAGCAGAUCAGUAAAGCACACUUCUGGCAUGUCUUCGAGGACAUGUCCAGAGAUGAUUGGCAUGUAGGCUGGCAAACUGAGGGAAAAAAAGACCCACCCUGAUUGUGGGUGGUUUCCUCCAAUAGUCUUACAGCCCAGAUGAAAUGGAAAGGAGGAAAAGGGGAAGUGGGGCUGCAUUGGAAAAGGUCCAUUUUGCUACAGCAGGUUCAUCUUUUGCUACUGCCAUUUCCCAUGGACAUCAGACUCCAGCUGUUUCAGCCUUUCAAUGCAGACUCACACCAGUGACUCUCCAGGGAGCUUCCAGGCCUUUGGUCUCAGACUGGCACUGCACCCUUAAUCUCUCUUGUUCCGUAGCUUUCAGCUUCUUUUGGAUUGGGCAGCAACUGGAUCCUCUGGCUCUCAGUGUGCAGACAGCCACUGUGCAUUCUCCUGCCUCUGAUUCUAUAAGUCUAACAAAUACCCUUCCAUAAUUAUACAUACAAAAAAAUAUUUCUUUUGAUUCUGAUCCUCUAGAGAUCCCUAACUAAUACAGACAUACACUAUGGAGCAGAAAUUCAAAAACAUGCUGCUUGAACUCAACUUUCAGCUGUGCCACUUCCUAGAUGAAUCAGUUCUUGAAUA